GAAAAGAAGAGAAAAGAAGGAAAGGAAAGGAAAGAAAUCUAUCGAUUUCAAAGGGGGAUUUCAAUCUUGGUGUGGAGGUUGUGAGUUCAUCAAUAAGGUAUGGAUUUUAAAAUAUGUUCUUAUGACUUUCUGUAAAUCUUUAGGGUUAAAGUACUAUGAUUCAAUUGAUAAAUAGAAAUAGAAAUAUUAUAUGAUUAGAUUAUGGCUUAGAUAUCCUAAGUUAUGUGUUACAUGCAACAGUUCAAGAAAUGAUACAUAGAUAUCCAUUGAAGAUGAGAUUGAUAGGUUGAUUAGGGUAUGGUUGUUCCUACAAAUUUGAUAAUAUUCAGACAUUAGAGUUGGGUUCUUUUUGCUUGUUUUGUGUUGAAUUUUAUGUCGAAAUAAACUUGAUGGAUUUAAUCUAUGUUUAAUUAUCAAUUUUCAGAGAUUUGAAGGUGGGUGUUCGUGUCCUGAUUUUAAAGGUUUUAGAUAUUUUCUGAUUGAUUUUAAACAGGUCAAGAAGUGAUACAUAGAUGUCCAUUGAAGAUGAGAUUGAUAGGUUGAUUAGAGUAUGAUCAUUCCUGCAAAUCUGAUAAUAUUCAGAUAUUGAAGUUGGGUUCUUUUGCUUGUUUUUGUGUUGCAGUUUAUGUUAAAAUAAACUUGCUGGAUUUAAUUUAAGUUUACUAAUUUUUCAGAGAUUUGAAGUUGGGUGUGUUAGUGUCAUGAUUUUAAAGGUUUUUUAUGGUACCCAUAAUCCAUCAGCCCAGGCCCACGCAAGAGUCCAGAAAUAAGGCCCAGCGAAGUGAACAAAAGAGGAAGAUCCAAGCCGCCUCACGGGUGCUCGCCCGACCGGGCCGACUGGGCGGAUCCAACGGCCCGGACGGUUAUUUCUCCAAGGGUUGCGUCCCAAGCAUGUCGGGUCCUUUAUAGGUCGGAUCUUAGUCCGAGAACGCAGGGUCCAGAGUCCGGUAGGAAACUGUAUAAAUACCCCUGGGAGUGAAGUGUAAAGGGGGAGAAUAGUUAUUAUAAUUAUAAUAUACGAUCAGUGGGCUUUCCUUAGGGACACGAUCAGUUUUAGAUAUUUUUGUAAUUGAUUUCAAA
rnacentral:lncRNA from 1 species